GCGCUCGUAGCUCAAUGGAUCAGAGCAUCUGACUACGGAUCAGAAGGUUGGGGGUUCGAAUCCCUCCGAGCGCGCAA
rnacentral:tRNA from 1 species